GUCACCCACUGGGCAGAGUGGGCACCUCAGGGGUUUGUCACCCCUGUGCCCACCCCCAGCAGGGAGAUUAAAGCCCAGCCCCGGGUUCUUCUUGGAGCAACAGGCAGGAGCAGCCUGGCCAGGGCUCAGCAGGGGUCCCUGAGCACGGCCCCCAUUCCCAAAUCCCCGGCCCCGAUUCCCAAAUCCCCGUUUGCUCCGGCAGGAGCAGAUCAAAGGGGAUGCGGACAGAGCCCGGCAGACACAGAUCAAAGCCCCUGACGGCCAUUUGGCCCCAGCGAAGAAUCAGAUCGCAGCUCUGGUGCCUGGAGGCCCCACCCUGAGCAGAUCCCCCCAUCCUCCCUCCCCAACCCCCAGAGCAGCGCCUGGACCAGGAGCCCUCGGCCAAGCACGGCCAGGAAAAAUGCCUGAGACUCCUACAAGCGAUGUGCCGCGGCGCAGGAGCCGCCUCCAUCACGCCGAGCCUUUCCUUAUUCCCAUCAUUUAAUCAGCAAAACAGGAACAAAGAGACCCAAAAAAACAUUGAAA